rnacentral:tRNA from 1 species
AGUGAUGUGCCUGAUAUAAAGGGUUAUCGUGAUAGGAUAAAUAAUGUAAUUUUAUUACCACCACUA